CCUACGGGAGGCAGCAGUGAGGAAUAUUGGUCAAUGGGCGAGAGCCUGAACCAGCCACGUCGCGUGAAGGAUGAAUGCCCUACGGGUUGUAACCUUCUUUUAUAAAGGAAUAAAGUGAGGCACGUGUGCAUUUUUGUAUGUACUUUAUGAAUAAGGAUAGGAUAACUCCGUGCCAGCAGCCGCGGUAAUACGGAGGAUCCGAGCGUUAGCCGGAUUUAUUGGGUUUAAAGGGAGCGUAGAUGGGUUGUUAAGUCAGUUGUGAAAGUUUGCGGCUCAACCGUAAAAUUGCAAUUGAUACUGGCAGUCUUGAGUACAGUUGAGGUAGGCGGAAUUCGAGGUGUAGCAGUGAAAUGCUUAGAUAUCACGAAGAACACCGAUGGCGAAGGCAGCUUACUAAACUGCCACUGACAUUGAUGCUCGAAAGUGUGGGUAGCAAACAGGAUUAGAUACCCUUGUAGUC
rnacentral:rRNA from 1 species